rnacentral:rRNA from 1 species
CCUACGGGUGGCUGCAGUGGGGAAUUUUGGACAAUGGGGGCAACCCUGAUCCAGCCAUGCCGCGUGCGGGAAGAAGGCCUUCGGGUUGUAAACCGCUUUUAGCCGGGAAGAGAAGGCGGGGGCUAACACCCUCUGUUUUUGACGGUACCGGCGGAAUAAGCACCGGCUAACUACGUGCCAGCAGCCGCGGUAAUACGUAGGGUGCGAGCGUUGAUCGGAAUUACUGGGCGUAAUGCGUCAAGAGGCGGUUGAAAGCCCCGGGCUCAACCUGGGAACGGCAUUGGAAACUGGCGGGCUGGAGUGUGGCAGAGGGGGGUGGAAUUCCGCGUGUAGCAGUGAAAUGCGUAGAGAUGCGGAGGAACACCGAUGGCGAAGGCAGCCCCCUGGGCUGACACUGACGCUCAGGCACGAAAGCGUGGGGAGCAAACAGGAUUAGAUACCCUAGUAGUC